rnacentral:rRNA from 1 species
UACGGAGGAUUCAAGCGUUAUCCGGAUUUAUUGGGUUUAAAGGGAGCGCAGGCGGUAUGGCAAGUCAGAUGUGAAAACCCAGGGCCCAACCCUGGGACUGCAUUUGAAACUGCCAUACUGGAGUGCCGGAGAGGUAAGCGGAAUUCCUAGUGUAGCGGUGAAAUGCGUAGAUAUUAGGAGGAACACCAGUGGCGAAGGCGGCUUACUGGACUGUAACUGACGUUGAGGCUCGAAAGCGUGGGGAGCAAACAGG